ACGUAGGGGGCAAGCGUUAUCCGGAUUUACUGGGUGUAAAGGGAGCGUAGACGGCUGUGCAAGUCUGGAGUGAAAGCCCGGGGCUCAACCCCGGGACUGCUUUGGAAACUGUACGGCUGGAGUGCUGGAGAGGCAAGCGGAAUUCCUAGUGUAGCGGUGAAAUGCGUAGAUAUUAGGAGGAACACCAGUGGCGAAGGCGGCUUGCUGGACAGUAACUGACGUUGAGGCUCGAAAGCGUGGGGAGCAAACAG
rnacentral:rRNA from 1 species